GGGGGUUUAGUUAAACGGUAUAAUAAGCGUCUCCAAAACGCUUGUCGAAGGUCCGACUCCUUCAGCCCCCG
rnacentral:tRNA from 1 species